AGCCAUUUGAGCAAACUGUUAUAACUGUCUCCAAAUGCCUUUGCCAAGAAAUUUAAUACUAAGAUCUCAGGUUCUCACACUUCCUGUUGGUCUCGGCUAGAGUAAGUGGUCUACUGAAGUUAAGUAUGCAGGCUUAUAACUGCAGUAUCCUUUUGAUAAUUUUCUAGGUAUAAUCUGAUCAGUCCAAGAUAGCAUU
rnacentral:lncRNA from 1 species